rnacentral:rRNA from 1 species
GACGAACGCUGGCGGCGUGCUUAACACAUGCAAGUCGAACGAUGAAGCGGGUGCUUGCACUCGUGGAUUAGUGGCGAACGGGCGAGUAACACGUGAGUAACCUGUCCUUUUCUUUGGGAUAACGGCUGGAAACGGCUGCUAAUACUGGAUAUUCAGGCUGCAUCGCAUGGUGUGGUUUGGAAAGGUUUUUUCUGGGAUUGGGUGGGCUCGCGGCCUAUCAGCUUGUUGGUGGGGUGAUGGCCUACCAAGGCUUUGACGGGUAGCCGGCCUGAGAGGGUGGUCGGUCGCACUGGGACUGAGAUACGGCCCAGACUCCUACGGGAGGCAGCAGUGGGGAAUAUUGCACAAUGGACGAAAGUUUGAUGCAGCGACGCCGCGUGGAGGGUGUAGGCCUUCGGGUUGUGAACUCCUUUUUCUCGCGAAAAAGGCACAGUUUUGGCUGUGUUGAUGGUAGUGGGGGAAGAAGCGCCGGCUAACUACGUG